CACCAGAUAAAACCACUAGCAACCCAUGUCCUAUUACUACGUGAAGAAAAUGGUUGGAGUAAUAAGUUUGAACUGCUUUCUCAUAUUAAUGGGAUCUGUUUUUGUAGCAGGUUAUAUUCCUUUAUCAUAUUAUCUCACAGAAAAAUGUAAUAAUAAUGUAGUAUUUUCUCAUGAUGUGAGGAUUCGACUGUCAAGAUAUUCAUCAAGCUAUUUACCAAGAUCAUUAAGUUGUCAUUUAGCAGUAACUUCAGUCAAACCCAGUGAUCAUAUUAUGAUUAAAUUUAGAGAUCUUGACACACAACUUUCAACCAGGUGUACAACAAACAGUCUGAAAAUAACUGAUGGCGUUACAGCACAAGCAAUAGGACCUCAAAAAGGAUUUUGUGGGUUUAGUACACCAUAUCAAGUUUACCAAUCAACAGGAGACUCUAUAUAUUUAGAUUUUACAACAAAUUCCCUAUUCCAAACUGGCGAUUUUGACAUCCUCU